rnacentral:rRNA from 1 species
AAGGCUUGACAUGGGAAGUAGUAAUACUACUAAACAGAGAAAUCUGUUGAAUCACACAGGUGGUGCAUGGUCGUCGUCAGUUCGUGCUGUGAAGCGUAUGCUUAAGUGCUAGAACGAACGCAACCCUCAUAUUUAGUUGCUACCAUUUAGUUGAGAACCCUAAUAGACUGCCACGGGUAAACCGUUACGGAGGGAAGGGAAGGAGGAGUGACGUCUGAUCAUCAUGCCCCUUACUUGCCUUCGGG